rnacentral:rRNA from 1 species
UUCCCCUUCGGGGGACAAAGUGACAGGUGGUGCAUGGUUGUCGUCAGCUCGUGUCGUGAGAUGUUGGGUUAAGUCCCGCAACGAGCGCAACCCUUAAGCUUAGUUGCCAUCAUUAAGUUGGGCACUCUAAGUUGACUGCCGGUGACAAACCGGAGGAAGGUGGGGAUGACGUCAAAUCAUCAUGCCCCUUAUGAUUUGGGCUACACACGUGCUACAAUGGACAAUACAAAGGGCAGCUAAACCGCGAGGUCAAGCAAAUCCCAUAAAGUUGUUCUCAGUUCGGAUUGUAGUCUGCAACUCGACUACAUGAAGCUGGAAUCGCUAGUAAUCGUAGAUCAGCAUGCUACGGUGAAUACGUUCCCGGGUCUUGUACACACCGCCCGUCACACCACGAGAGUUUGUAACACCCGAAGCCGGUGGAGUAACCAUUUAUGGAGCUAGCCGUCGAAGGUGGGACA